rnacentral:ncRNA from 1 species
UAAAGGUUUGGUCCUGGCCUUGUUAUUAAUUUUAACUAUAUUUACACAUGCAAGUAUCAGCACUCCCGUGAAAAUGCCCUCUUUCACCAUCAAGUGAAUGAGGAGCGGAUAUCAGGCUCUUACCCUGCCAAAGACAUCUUGUUUAGCCACACCCUCAAGGGAAUUCAGCAGUGAUUAACAUUGAAACAUAAGCGUUUAAAGCUUGAAUCAGUGACAGUUUACAGAGUUGGUUAAUCUCGUGCCAGCCACCGCGGUUAUACGAGAAACUCAAAUUAAUAAAAACGGCUCAAAGGGUGGUUAAAGAUAAGCUAUAAUAGAAUAAAAACCUAACUCUGCUGUCGCACGCAAUAGUUAGACAAGAGCACACCAUCGAAAGUGAUUCUACCAUUCUUGAACCCACGACAACUAGGAGACAAACUGGGAUUAGAUACCCCACUAUGCCUAGCCAUAAACUUUGAUUAUCCGCCAGAGUACUACGAGCUACAGCUUAAAACUCAAAGGACUUGGCGGUGCUUUACACCCCCCCUAGAGGAGCCUGUUCUAUAAUCGAUAAUCCCCGAUAAACCUCACCACCUAUUGCCAAUACAGCCUAUAUACCACCGUCCAGCCCGCCCUUUAAAGGGUAAACAGCAGGCAUAAUUAUAAACAUAAAAACGUCAGGUCAAGGUGUAGCAGAUAAGGUGGAAAGAAAUGGGCUACAUUUUCUAACUUAGAAAACACGGAUGAUUCUAUGAAAUAGUUUCUGAAGGAGGAUUUAGCAGUAAAAAGAAAUAAGAGUGUUCUUUUUAAAACGGCAAUAAAGCGCGCACACACCGCCCGUCACCCUCUUCAAAUAAUUUAAAAAAUCUUAAAUAAAUAAAGUCAGUAAGUAAGAAGAGGCAAGUCGUAACAUGGUAAGUCUACCGGAAGGUGGACUUGGAAUAU